AAACAAAAGAGAACAGGUGUAGAAUACAGUAUUUUCAAUUGGCCACCAAGAGUUGCAUACAAAUGCCCUCCCCUCCCAUCUAACACAGACAGACCCCGUCAUCAGGCCUCAUCUGUGACAUUUUCAAAAGAGGAUGCUUAUGCACAAAGGAGCUUAUGAGGAGCUUUUAUGCUGAGGUCUUGAUGGUCCUUUGGAAAGCCAUCCCUUGUUCGGCUUCAGUCCAAGGUUUUGAUGGCAAUGGUACUGAUCCUACUUCUGAGCUCCAGAGUUAAAUAUAAGACCUAGGCCUGACAAGAAUGUUCCAUCCUUUUGGCCACCAGACGACUCCGGGGCACAGGCCUGUGACGCAGACAGGACCUGAUGUAUCCCCUGCUCACAGGUCCCCAAAGGCAGGGCUGAUUUCCGUCUGUGUAUGGAAGAACAGUUACAAAGCUCUGCCUCCUACUAGCUUUGCAACUUUGGGCAACUAACCUAACCUCGUUGUGCCUCAGUCUCCUCCUCUGUAAAUGGAAGUAAUAAUAUUGCAUACGGCAUUGUGGUGGGAUGAAGAUUAAAUGAGUUAAUGCAUACAAAACACUUAGAAUGUUGCCUGGCACCUGGUUAAUGUUAACUAUUGUGAUUAUUGUCAUCACCACCACCCCAGCUUCGGCAACACCAUCACCCGCCACCAUCCUAGCAACAGCAUCAUUACUUAUCAUCACCACCACUCUCUUCCUCAGCACCCUCACACAGCAGCAGGAGAUGGUGAGCACUCACCGGGUGUUUGCUGAAUCUGACUCCUCUCUGUAACAUCUGAGUGUGUAAGUGGCAGUCAUACAGAACUUCAGAUGUGCUGAGUAUCAGCACAAAGGGCUGCCUAUGAUGAGAUUGCUGGUAAAGAGCUAGAAUCUCAGUUUGCCCUGAGACUAGACUGUAUCAUACUGCUUUUUCCCUCUUUUUUUUGGUAGAGACACUUUCUUGAUAUGUUGCCCAGGCUGGUCUCGAACUUCUGGGCUCAAGGGAUCCUCCUGCCUCAGCCCCCACUCAAAGUGCUGGGAUUAUAGGUGUGAGCCACUGUGCACGGCCCCCGUACUUCUUGCUGUGUCCUUCAGAAGAAAUACCCGUCCUGCUCCCUGACUCAAUUUGUGGCCCUAAUAAAACAGCAAGCUGCUAGGACUACUACAACACACAAAAUGUGGCCCUGAGUAUACACCCAUAUCAUUAUAUGCCCUCAGACACCGACAAUCCAUGAGGCUAAACUUCCCCAUGCCUAGGCCUCCAGAGACCAGAACAUGCUGUAGGCCUUUCGGUACAACAGCUGCAGCGUGCCACAAGAUGGGCAAUUCUGCACCCCAGACUCAGGCAGACCUGAGUACAAAUUUUGACUUAGGCCUUUCCAGCUGUGUGGCUUUGGGUAAAUGCCCAUCUCUGAGUGUCUGUUCACUCCUGUAUCAAAGGGAGACAAAUGGUAACACUCACCUCUCGGGGAGUCCUGAGGAUGAAAAAAGAUCGUCCGUGUGAAAACAGACUAUGUAAGUUAUGGCUAUGUAACUUAUAGGACCAAAUGCAAAAUGAAAUCAUGGGG
rnacentral:lncRNA from 1 species